rnacentral:rRNA from 1 species
UACGAAGGGGGCUAGCGUUGUUCGGAAUUACUGGGCGUAAAGCGCACGUAGGCGGAUAUUUAAGUCAGGGGUGAAAUCCCGAGGCUCAACCUCGGAACUGCCUUUGAUACUGGGGAUCUCGAGUCCGGGAGAGGUGAGUGGAACUGCGAGUGUAGAGGUGAAAUUCGUAGAUAUUCGGAAGAACACCAGUGGCGAAGGCGGCUCACUGGACCGGUAUUGACGCUGAGGUGCGAAAGCGUGGGGAGCAAACAGG